rnacentral:lncRNA from 1 species
UUCCAACACAAUCACCACAAUUUGAUUAAGAAAAUGAUUACAAGCACACAAACAUAUACAUUAAUGAUACUUUUAAGUACUUAAUUAACUGAUGCAAAUCCAACUAACUAUAUAAUUAACUAACAAACUGAACACACUAAAUCAUCUAGCUAACACAUAACAUUACAGUUAAUGACCGAUACCGGGGCUGUGCCCCGGUGAGGUAGGUCGGUAAUUGUCGACCGUGAUGUUUUCGAUCUUCGUUUCCACCAGAAGCUUUUGUUCGCGAGCAUUAUCUUGUUUAAGCACUUGAUCACCAUGCUCAUUGAUCUGGGACGUCGCAACCGGUGGUGGUGGCAUAAUUACCAUUGAUGUCUUCUCUCCGGCCUCACUCAAUUGUCGUCCCUCUGAACCGGAAAACAGCUGAGCAAAGACGAUGAUCGAUGCUACGACGAGCAAAGCAAAUGCAUUAUAGCUCCUCAUUCUCAUAUGAUAUCAAGAUAGUGAUAGAUAGAUCGAACUAGCU